UACGGAGGAUGCAAGCGUUAUCCGGAAUGAUUGGGCGUAAAGCGUCCGCAGGUGGCACUGUAAGUCUGCUGUUAAAGAGCAAGGCUCAACCUUGUAAAGGCAGUGGAAACUACAGAGCUAGAGUACGUUCGGGGCAGAGGGAAUUCCUGGUGUGGCGGUGAAAUGCGUAGAGAUCAGGAAGAACACCGGUGGCGAAAGCGCUCUGCUAGGCCGUAACUGACACUGAGGGACGAAAGCUAGGGGAGCGAAUGGG
rnacentral:rRNA from 1 species